UUUAAAAUCGGUUCUUAAAUAGCCGAUUUUAAAAGUGCUACUUUUAAAAUCAGCUAUCAAAGAACUAAUUUUAAA
rnacentral:miRNA from 1 species